CCUACGGGAGGCAGCAGUAGGGAAUAUUGCUCAAUGGGGGAAACCCUGAAGCAGCAACGCCGCGUGGAGGAUGAAGGUCUUCGGAUUGUAAACUCCUUUUGUUAGAGAAGAUAAUGACGGUAUCUAACGAAUAAGCACCGGCUAACUCCGUGCCAGCAGCCGCGGUAAUACGGAGGGUGCAAGCGUUACUCGGAAUCACUGGGCGUAAAGAGCGCGUAGGCGGGAUAGCAAGUCAGAUGUGAAAUCCUAUGGCUUAACCAUAGAACUGCAUUUGAAACUGUUAUUCUAGAGUAUGCGAGAGGUAGGUGGAAUUCUUGGUGUAGGGGUAAAAUCCGUAGAGAUCAAGAAGAAUACUCAUUGCGAAGGCGACCUGCUGGAACAUAACUGACGCUGAUGCGCGAAAGCGUGGGGAGCAAACAGGAUUAGAUACCCUAGUAGUC
rnacentral:rRNA from 1 species